rnacentral:rRNA from 1 species
CUACUCUUGACAUCCUGCGAACUUGGUAGAGAUACCUUGGUGCCUUCGGGAACGCAGAGACAGGUGCUGCAUGGCUGUCGUCAGCUCGUGUUGUGAAAUGUUGGGUUAAGUCCCGUAACGAGCGCAACCCUUGUCCUUAGUUGCCAUCAUUUAGUUGGGGACUCUAAGGAGACUGCCGGCGACAAACCGGAGGAAGGCGGGGACGACGUCAAGUCCUCAUGGCCCUUACGGGUUGGGCUACACACGUGCUACAAUGGCAGUGACAAUGGGUUAAUCCCAAAAAACUGUCUCAGUUAGGAUUGGGGUCUGCAACUCGACCCCAUGAAGUCGGAAUCGAAAAAAGGCGCAAAUCAGAAUGUUGCGGUGAAUACGUUCCCGGGUCUGUACACACCG